CCCUUAGAUGUCCGGGGCUGCACGCGCGCUACACUGAAGGAAUCAGCGUGCUAAAACCAUUGUCGAAAGGCAUUGGUAAACCCAUUAAAAUCCUACGUGAUUGGGUUCGGGAAUUGCAAUUAUUUCCCUUGAACGAGGAAUUCCCAGUAAGUGUGGGUCAUAAGCUCGCGUUGAUUACGUCCCUGCCCUUUGUACACACCGCCCGUCGCUGCCCGGGACUGAGCCGUUUCGAGAAAAGCGGGGACUGCUGCUGUCGGGGCUUUCGGGCCUUGGCUUCGGUGGAAACCGCUUUAAUCGCAGUGGCUUGAACCGGGCAAAAGUCGUAACA
rnacentral:rRNA from 1 species